AGGCAACAGUGCUAACCACUAAGACACCGUGCUGCCAAAGUAUCUUAGUGCCACACCUCCCAGGUGGAUGGAUCAUCUUAGCAUUGGUGAAGUCCUCACAAAAAUUCAAGGAAAACAAACAUUUUCUAUGCACAGAGGAAACCUCAGACGUUUUACUUCAAUUAAUGAAAAAUGUGAACAACAAAAAAAAAGACCUGCAUUUAUAUUUUUGUUGAGUAUAUUUAUUUAUUUCUUGUUUAUGAAUGUGUAAAAGCUUGAUAGUUUCUUUUUAAGUGUUAAACAUUUUUGUCACAUUUAUGACAUGGUGCACAGCUGCCGAGGAGUGUCAGCUUCGGAAGGAGAUUGAAAUCAAAAGCAAAUCAGUGAAAAUAUUUAUGUAAUAUUUAUUCAACGGAGGCAUGAUAUGACAAAUCUCAUCUGUGCUCGUGACGCUGUCACCUAUGCAGUGAUUACUGAACUUGAUGUGAACGUAGUUAAAUUGUGUCAUGUACAACAGUGUAUUUUUGGAGAUUACGUAGCUGUCAUUUUUUUCCCCCAUAUUUUUAAUAUUUGCUUUUGGAAAUCCCACAAGCUUCAUACAAAUGUGCAUCGUGUUCUGUGGUUGUAGGUGGCGUAUGUUGAAAAUUAUCCCAGUCAUCUCCCACCAGCGGGUGUGACACGAUUGACUGAGUCAGCUUAUUUUGUGUAUUAUCACAUGUGAGACGUCAUUGUGUAAUUUGACAUCAUCAGUAGAGUUAUGCUACAGGAUGAAACUCCCACACAUUUUGAUUUGAUCAUCAAAAGCCUGUAAUGUGUAAAUGAAUAUGUUGAUUGUAAAAGCACAAUUUGAACAAACAUUGUUCUCAAUUGA